rnacentral:tRNA from 1 species
GUCUAAGUAUUCAACUAUGAUUUUAAAUUGCAAAUUUAAAGGUAAGCAGGGUCUUCUUAGACU